GAGACAAUCAUGCGAGCUUAGUGUAAAGGUAGAGGAAAAUAUAAAGCACAGAAAAAGAAACAGAAAAUCAAGUUCAUGCAUAGUAGAGAAGCAACACAUGAGAUAAACACAGAUGAAACACACAUAAAGAAAAGAAAAGAGAAGAAGAAUCAGAAAGUUUUCUAGAAACCCUAGUUUUGGAAAUCGAAUAAUUUCAAAAAGAGAAAAUUGGGGAAAACCCUUAAAACAUCGAAUAUAGAACAGAUAUAGCAUAGAUAUAAGAGAAAACAAACAGAAAAACCUCGAAUGGCUUUAGGUUUCUCUGAAACCCUAGAAAUGAGAAGGCUUGGAAAGGGUCUGGUCUGGAGUCGAUCUAAGCCACAGCUAGGCUACUAAGGCUCGAAUACGCGGAACAGGACCGGAGAAGCCAUAGAACAUUAGAUCUUUGGAGGUUCUACUCGAACACCAUCAAGGUCGGACCUCGAAAUCUCGAACAAACAUGGCUGAGAAGUGAAGGAGGGUGAGCACAGGCUAUCCAUGGCCAGAGAAGCCAUGGACUCUGGUGAGAUUGGUCAGAGAAGAUGAAGGAGACGAUUAGGUUUUUCGAGUGUUUGAGAGAGUGAGAGAGUUUUAGGGCAG
rnacentral:lncRNA from 1 species